GGAAAGGGUUGCGCGGAGAAUGGAGGGGAUAAUGGCGAGAGGGGUGGAUGUGCGCUCCCGUUCCAAGCAGUAUGAGAAGCUGGAGUUCCUGGGGGAAGGCCAGUUUGCCACAGUUUAUAAAGCAAGAGACAAGAAUACAGAUAGAAUUGUGGCCAUUAAAAAGAUUAAACUGGGACAUAGAGCAGAGGCUAAAGGUGGUAUAAACAGAACAGCGCUGAGAGAGAUAAAGCUGCUGCAGGAGUUAAGCCAUCCUAAUAUCAUUGGCCUGCUGGAUGCUUUUGGACACAAAUCAAACAUAAGCCUGGUGUUUGAUUUUAUGGAGACAGAUCUUGAGGUUAUAAUAAAAGAUACCAGCUUGGUAUUAACUCCAGCUCAUAUUAAAUCAUACAUGCUGAUGACUCUGCAGGGCUUGGAAUAAGUAGACCAUCUCUGGAUCCUGCACAGAGAGAAUGUGUUCUUAAAGAUCCCAAUACCUGUAUAAGGCAGCAGUCAUGGAGGAAUUUAUAGAACAGCUGAUUUAGGCCAACAUUAUACAACAGCAAACAUGCAAAGGAAGCUACACGGAGAUCUUAACUGAAAAGACACGAGCAAGCCAUGGCUCUGCAAAAGCAAAACCAGCUAGAAGCCAGUAGACUACUAAUGGAUCAAAUCAAUGCACAGACAGAGCCUCCCAGUGAGAUCCCAGAUGUUUGAUCUUGCUCACCUGGUGAAGAAAUUACUACAACUAGAGAAAUCAACACUUGCACGGAUCACUGAUAGAGCGGCAUUGGACUAAUACAUCAGGUCUCUUCUUGCUACAAUCCAGCACUUGGUAGGACAAGGGGACCCCAAAAAUAUGGAAUGGUUGGUAAACUAAGUGGGAAGGCACAAAGUAAUAGAGGAUUUACUCCAAUAAGCAACUUCAGUCAGAGAAAUUGUAAGAUGUCUAGCGAUCCUGGUAAUACUGCUAUUUUUAAUAAAGGGGGUAAGCGAGCCAAUAUAUAUAUAUAUAUAUAUAUAUAUAUAUAUAAUAUAUUCCUUAAUAUCACCAUAUAUAAGCAAUAUCCCACACAGCUAUGGCUACAAUUAAAACCCUCUGUGGUACUAUCUGUCAUAAGGUUUGAGUGGUAAAAUCACUUUAUGCAUAAGGUAAUACUGUGAAGGGAUUUCCCCUUAUUUUGGAAAACCCAGUAUAAAAAGAAAUAAGUUCAUAUUAAGGCAUAACUAAGGCUGUACCUAUUGAUUACAGUCCUGAGCCAGCAGAAAGAGUUUUGUGCCAGACUCUGUGUGAAGGGUAGCUGUACUUCCAGAGACUUAUGAGUUUGAGGCUGUUUACCCAUAUGUUCAUAUUAGAGGUUUUGUGUAAUAAUUUUGGGACUGCCCAAUUAAGGUACCUGAUGCUAAUAAAUGCCUGGGGAAAUAAAACAAACAGAAAACCUCAUUUUCCUGGAGGUAUAGCCACACUUGGCUAAAAAAUCCAAGAUUUGCUGUACCAAGUUGAUAUUCACAGGGAAAUAGUAGAAUAGCUAUUAGUACCCCAACCAUGUAGCAGAAUGGUAUAAGAUAUGGCCCACAUGUGUUUGCAGGACACCUGGGCUGUGCUAAACCGAAAGAACCUAAUUUCCGUAGGUUUUUUAGAGUUCAAGAGGUCUUUCCCAGAGUGUUAGUUAACUGGGCCUAUGCCACAUCUUAGAUCCCCUUGGUACCUCUUCCCAUCACAGAGUUUCUGUUAGAAAGAAUAACUGUAAAAUUAAUUGGACCAUUGCUGAAAUUCUCUAGGGGAUACCAAUAUAUACUAUUGGUUUUGAAAUAUGCCAUAAGCGACUCAGAGGUGAUCCCUUUAUGAAGAACUGGUACAUAUGUUAUUUUGUAUUGGUAUCCCCAAAGAAAUCCUUACUGAUUAAGGUACUCCAGGAAAAAUUUGCCCCAGUGCAGAAACAAACUGCAACCAGAUAGGACUAAAGUUUAAUUAGUCUACUUUAAUGAAAAUGGCAAUAGCCUUAUUUCUAUGGGUGCCUUUUCUUUGCACCUGUACAUUAGCCAGACAUGUUAAAUAGGCAAAAGUAUCUGGAUACCUUGGUACCAACUUGUCCCUCCUUUUGCUGCUAUAACAGCCUCUAAUCUUUGGGGAAGGCUUUCACUUGAUGUUGGUGGUGGAAUUUGCUUUUAUUAAAGCCUCAUGGUGUUGACACUGAUAUUAGGCAUUCAGGCCUAGCUCAUGUCAUCUUCCAGGUGUUUAACAUAUUGAUGUCAUUGCUCUAUGCAGGCUAUUCGAGUGAUUUUCGUCCCAUCUCUGAACAAGAGUAGUUACCAAUGGCAACCAAUCAACAUUUAGCUUUGCAGUCUGCUACAAAUUAGUCUACUUCAAAUAAGGAGACAAGUCCCAAGAAAGGGACACUAACAUGUUCCUAAUGAAAAGUCAUAGGAACAUGUUAGUAUUACUAAUGAGUUGCAGCAAAAAAAUCUAACCAGCAAAAAGUCCCCCAAAGGAGCCCCCAGCCAAGUGGUCCCAAGUGACACUCCGACACAGUAAAAGGAUUCUUUGCAAUUGUGUCCAUCCCGCUGGGUUGGGGCAGAUUGAUCCUUCAAUAGGCUGGAGUACUGUUUCCAUUUAUAGUUAGCCUAUGGAAGGAUAAUGCCACCCCCAACCUAGCGUGAUACAGAGAAACAGCUUGGCUCAUUCUGCUUUCUACCACCUUAAAGACAAGCGGGUAUCGCUGGACUAGGGGUAGCUGUGUGGAGUUUUACCUUAAAUGAUGUUCAUGGCACAACCAUUUAGUAAUACUGAAUACUGAAUUCCUACAUUUUUAAUUUUCUUCUUGGUUCCUUAUUCUUCCUGACUUCUUUCUUGACUUCCUUACAGUUUUUCUUUUGGUGGCCUGUCCUGCCUUGUCUUCCUCUGCUUCAGUGCUUCAGUUCUAAUGCUUCUGCUUUAAGCCAUCUGCUGUACUUUCAGAUGAUUUUCUGUAAUAGGAAAAGUAUAGGAUUAUUUUAUAAAGGUACAACAUGAAGAAAAGGAGAAAACUAUACUUACUGCUUGAAUAAUUGUCAUAAUAUUAAUAUAUCAGUGCUAUCAAACCUAAUAUGCAACCCACAGUAUACACCAUUAGCUUACUGAUGUCUUCCAUUUCAUCAGCAAAAAUGCCCUUUUCAUCUCUGUAACUUUAUAGAUUACAUGGCAGAAAAAAUAUAAUUAAAGUACAUGGUUGAGGUUCAACAGACAC